rnacentral:rRNA from 1 species
UACGUAGGGGGCAAGCGUUGUCCGGAUUUAUUGGGCGUAAAGAGCGUGUAGGCGGCCAAACAGGUCCACUGUGAAAACUCGAGGCUCAACCUCGAGAGGUCGGUGGAAACCGUCUGGCUAGAGUCCGGAAGAGGAGAGUGGAAUUCCCGGUGUAGCGGUGAAAUGCGCAGAUAUCGGGAAGAACACCCGUGGCGGAAGGCGGCUCUCUGGGACGGUACUGACGCUGAGACGCGAAAGCGUGGGGAGCGAACAGGAU